rnacentral:rRNA from 1 species
UACGUAGGGACCGAGCGUUGUCCGGAUUCAUUGGGCGUAAAGAGCUCGUAGGCGGCUGCUCAAGUCGAAUGUGAAAACUCGAGGCUCAACCUCGAGCCUGCAUUCGAUACUGGGCGGCUAGAGUCUGGUAGGGGGAUCUGGAAUUCCUGGUGUAGCGGUGGAAUGCGCAGAUAUCAGGAGGAACACCGGUGGCGAAGGCGGGAUCCUGGGCCAGUACUGACGCUGAGGAGCGAAAGCGUGGGAGCAAACAGGG